rnacentral:tRNA from 1 species
GGUGGGUAUGGCCUAGCUGGUUAAGGCGUCAGAUUGUGGUCCUGAAGAUCGUGGGUUCGAUUCCCACUAUCCACCCCAU